rnacentral:rRNA from 1 species
CAGUAGCCACGGGAAUACGAAGGGUGCAAGCGUUACUCGGAAUCACUGGGCGUAAAGCGUGCGUAGGUGGUGGUUUAAGUCCGUUGUGAAAGCCCUGGGCUCAACCUGGGAAUUGCAGUGGAUACUGGGUCACUAGAGUGUGGUAGAGGAUAGUGGAAUUUCCGGUGUAGCAGUGAAAUGCGUAGAGAUCGGAAGGAACAUCUGUGGCGAAGGCGACUAUCUGGGCCAACACUGACACUGAGGCACGAAAGCGUGGGGAGCAAACAGGAUUAGAUACCCCCGUAGUCCCUGUCUCUUAUAC